CCUUGGACCCCUCGCCCUCAUUGCCCCUCAAUCUUUGGACCCCCUUUCUGCCGUUGGAUGAUCGCAAAACAAGAUACCACACUGCUGUUACUUAGUGCUGUAUGAGCAUAGUGCUUUGAAUUGUAACCAUAGAUACUUAUUACAAAAAGGGCAAGACCAAAUUGCUGUAACUAAACACACUUUUCAUGCUGUUUCUAAUAGUAAUUCAGUGUAGUUGAACAGUAGAUUUUACAUCCUCCAGGUUAUCAAAAUCUUCAUCAACAACGGCUGAAAGCAGCAGGAAUCUAUAAUAAAAACUAACUUUGGCCAAAUAAUGAGUUUAAGAAAAAAAGACUAAUUAUUGUAACAGGUCAAAAAUUGACUAUUUGUUAUAACAGGUUUACAUAGUGUACUGCUUUCAAUGCCAUUGAUGUAGGUCAACAGUUCAUCUGGCUAUCUAGAAACAAUAACUAUAAUAGUAUAAACUGAGUGUUGGUAAUUUAUGAUUAUAUUAAAGCCAUUAUACCAUGUCAUAUUCAAUCCAUCAACAAA
rnacentral:lncRNA from 1 species